CCAGAAUGUCCUUAACUCAGCAUCUCCAGG
rnacentral:piRNA from 1 species